UGGCGAACGGGUGAGUAACGCGUGAGCAACCUGCCUUUCAGAGGGGGACAACAGUUGGAAACGAUCCGCUAAUACCGCAUAACGUGCCGUGGGGGCAUCCUCGUGGUACCAAAGAUUUAUCGCUGAAAGAUGGGCUCGCGUCUGAUUAGCUAGUUGGAGGGGUAACGGCCCACCAAGGCAACGAUCAGUAGCCGGGUUGAGAGACUGAACGGCCACAUUGGGACUGAGAUACGGCCCAGACUCCUACGGGAGGCAGCAG
rnacentral:rRNA from 1 species